AUGGCCUGGUCUGUGUUUCUCCUCACUCUCCUCACCCAGGCCAUAGGGAUCUGGACCCAGUCUGCUCUGACUCAGCCUCCCUCGGUGUCUGGGACUCAGGGACAGUCAGUCACCAUCUCCUGUGCAGGAACCAGUAAUGACUUUGGGAGAUAUAAUUAUGUCUCCUGGUACCAGCAGCAGGAGGGCACAGCCCCCAAAAUGCUGAUUUAUAAUGUCAAUAAGCGGCCGUCAGGGAGCCCUGAUCGCUUCUCUGGCUCCAAGUCUGGCAACACAGCGACCCUGACCAUCUCUGGGCUCAGGCCUGAAGACGAGACUGAUUAUUUCUGUAUGUCAUUUAUGAGUGGUGACACUUUCCACAGUAGCUGCUAUAUACAGGGAACUGAGACAAAAACCUGUUCUCAACCUCCUCAGGCUGCCACACUUCUGAAUCCAAGUUAUGCUGCUUUUAUCUUACUUACAAAAUUUUAG